GUUGGGUUCUGUCAAGUAAAAAUCUGCUUUGAAUUUUAGUUCUAGCCUGCAUCACGAAGAAUACUCUGCAAGCAGAAAGCUCCUUUGCAUUUUAAACUCUGAGGGUAAAAAAGAAAUAUCCUAUGACGUUCUUGUUCAUUUUUCUUUUAUACCUGAUUGCAUUCGGAUUGUAUUAUCUAAGCUUAUAGUAUAUCAAUUAAUUUCUGGGCUAGUGGGUAAAUUUAGAGCAGUGCUUUGGGUACAACAGAGCCUCUGCAACCAAAAAACAAAAACUAGAAGAAGAGGAAGAGGAAGGAGGAGGAAAAAGGACGACAAAAUUGCCUGUGAUUUUGGCAGUUGAAGCUACAAAGAACGUAGAGCUUGGAAACAAAGAGUUGUCUCAGGCAAUACAGCGGAAUAGCAGUAGCAGGACUUUUCUCUUGCUUUUCCUUUUUGUUCUUACUUUUUCAAUCCUCUUUCUGGAUUGGUAUAGUUGAAUUUCUGAUAGUACGUGGACUGCUGUGAUUACAAUUUUCCUUGUAAAUUUGAUUGCGGGAUGGGAAAAAUUGUAGAUUUAUUAUCAACAUUUGAGCAAAUUGAGUUUUGAGCUGUUGAAAUAAAAAACCUCUCCGUCUUACGCUGAAA